AUUGAACGCUGGCGGCAUGCUUUACACAUGCAAGUCGAACGGCAGCGGGGUAGUGCUUGCACUACUGCCGGCGAGUGGCGGACGGGUGAGUAAUAUAUCGGAACGUACCGAGUAAUGGGGGAUAACCAAUCGAAAGAUUGGCUAAUACCGCAUACGUCCUGAGGGAGAAAGCGGGGGAUCGCAAAAACUCGCGUUAUUCGAGCGGCCGAUAACUGAUUAGCUAGUUGGUGGGGUAAAGGCCUACCAAGGCGACGAUCAGUAGCGGGUCUGAGAGGACGAUCCGCCACACUGGGACUGAGACACGGCCCAGACUCCUACGGGAGGCAGCAGUGGGGAAUUUUGGACAAUGGGGGCAACCCUGAUCCAGCCAUGCCGCGUGUAUGAAGAAGGCCUUCGGGUUGUAAAGUACUUUUGUUAGGGAAGAAAAGGGAAGUGCUAAUACCACUUUUUGCUGACGGUACCUAAAGAAUAAGCACCGGCUAACUACGUG
rnacentral:rRNA from 1 species